rnacentral:rRNA from 1 species
CAUCUAAGGAAGGCAGCAGGCGCGUAAAUUACCCAAUCCUGACUCAGGGAGGUAGUGACAAGAAAUAACGGACCGAAGCCUAUGUUUCGGGAUUGCAAUGAGUAGAAUUUAAACCCCUUUACGAGGAUCAAUUGGAGGGCAAGUCUGGUGCCAGCAGCCGCGGUAAUUCCAGCUCCAAUAGCAUAUAUUAAAUUUGUUGCAGUUAAAAAGCUCGUAGUUGGAUUUCUGGGAGGGUGCCAAUGUCCGCUCGUUCGCGUGUGCAGCGGCGCCCUUCCAUCCUUCUGUUAACGUUUCUGGUAUUCAGUUACUGGACUCGGGCUCA